GACGAACGCUGGCGGCGUGCCUAAUACAUGCAAGUAGAACGCUGAAGCGAGGAGCUUGCUCUUCUUGGAUGAGUUGCGAACGGGUGAGUAACGCGUAGUUAACCUGCCUGGUAGCGGGGGAUAACUAUUGGAAACGAUAGCUAAUACCGCAUAAAAUGGAUUAUCUCAUGAUAAUCCAGUGAAAGUUGCAAAUGCAUCACCACCAGAUGGACCUGCGUUGUAUUAGCUAGUUGGUGGGGUAACGGCUCACCAAGGCGACGAUACAUAGCCGACCUGAGAGGGUGAUCGGCCACACUGGGACUGGGACACGGCCCAGACUCCUACGGGAGGCAGCAGUAGGGAAUCUUCGGGAAUGGACGGAAGGCUGAACGAGCAACGCCGCGUGAGUGAAGAAGGGUGUCGGAUCGUAAAGAUCUGUUGUAAGAGAAGAACGAGUGUGAGAGUGGAAAGUUCACACUGUGACGGUAUCUGAACAGAAAGGGACGGCUAACUACGUG
rnacentral:rRNA from 1 species